UCAACCAAGCCAAUGCAGAAGAAAUUAAAAUACCUGAAUAAUAAAGCAACAAGAUAACGCCAAGAACUAUUUGACAUCGGAAAACCCUUUAAGACAAAGGAAAAAUCGACUAGGCAAACCGACAAGUCCACUAUCACAGAAUACACGGAUACAAUGUUUUCGUCUCAAGAUUAAUGCAUAAAAUCAAGAGGUAAUCCACCUCGCUACAUCAAGAUGUAAUCAUGGUAUACCACAAUAUUCAUCAUCUAAUAAUACUAUAUGGAACCCACGUAAAUAAUUAUGAAAGGAGAAGAAAAAAUGUCACCUAAAAUCCUUUUUCAAGACCAAUGUUGUAGAAAACAAACGGUAAAAAGGAUUGAAGAAAAAGAUAAGAAGUAAACUUCUUUUCCUCCAAAUAUUACCAUCAGCGUUCACCCUCUCUUUUCCCCAUUUCGUUGAUGCGCGUUUGUAUGUAUAUUCCAAUUGCU
rnacentral:lncRNA from 1 species